GAAGGUAUAGCUCAAAUGGUAGAGUGCAUGCUUAGCAUUCAUGAAGUCCUGGGUUCAAUCCCUGGUACCUCCA
rfam:Camelus ferus unplaced genomic scaffold scaffold900, whole genome shotgun sequence.